rnacentral:rRNA from 1 species
AGUCACUGACAUUAGAUACCCGCGUAGUCCAGGGUGUAAACGCUGCAGACUUGGUGUUGGAAGCCCUUUGGGGGCAUUCAGUGCCGGAGAGAAGUUGUUAAGUCUGCUACUUGGGGAGUACGUCCGCAAGGAUGAAACUUAAAGGAAUUGGCGGGGGAGCACCGCAACGGGAGGAGCGUGCGGUUUAAUUGGAUUCAACACCGUAAAACUCACCAGGGAAGACUGUUACAUGAAAGCCGAGAUGAAGACUCUGCUAGAUUUUCAG